rnacentral:rRNA from 1 species
AAAAAGCUCGUAUUGGAUUUUGGUUAAGAGGCCGUCGCCGUUUGGUCUGUACUGCUUGUCUGACUUCCUGAUGAGACUGCUCUGGUUACCUGAACUGGAUCUCUGGUUACUUUGAAAAAUUAAGUGUUCAAAGCGGCUUACCUUGAAUUUAGCUGGAAUAACCUAUAGGACUCCUGUCCUAUCUCGUUGGUCUCGGGAUGGGAGUAAUGAUUAAGAGGACAGUUGGGGGCUUCGUAUUUCAUUGUCAGAGGUGAAAUUCUUGGAUUUAUGAAAGACGAACUUCUGCGAAAGCAUUUGCCAGGAUGUUUUCAUUAAUCAAGAACGAGAGUUGGGGGCUCGAAGAUGAUUAGAUACCAUCCUAGUCUCAACCAUAAACGAUGCCGACUAGGGAUGGUGGAU